GUUAAUUUGGCAGAUUAGUGCAUUAAAUUUAGAAUUUAAUUAAGUAAUUUAAUUACAUUUAACA
rnacentral:tRNA from 1 species